UGGCAGUCAGAGGCGAUGAAGGACGUGCUAAUCUGCGAUAAGCGUCGGUAAGGUGAUAUGAACCGUUAUAACCGGCGAUUUCCGAAUGGGGAAACCCAGUGUGAUUCGUCACACUAUCAUUAACUGAAUCCAUAGGUUAAUGAGGCGAACCGGGGGAACUGAAACAUCUAAGUACCCCGAGGAAAAGAAAUCAACCGAGAUUCCCCCAGUAGCGGCGAGCGAACGGGGAGCAGCCCAGAGCCUGAAUCAGUGUGUGUGUUAGUGGAAGCGUCUGGAAAGGCGUGCGAUACAGGGUGACAGCCCCGUACACAAAAAUGCACAUACUGUGAGCUCGAUGAGUAGGGCGGGACACGUGGUAUCCUGUCUGAAUAUGGGGGGACCAUCCUCCAAGGCUAAAUACUCCUGACUGACCGAUAGUGAACCAGUACCGUGAGGGAAAGGCGAAAAGAACCCCGGCGAGGGGAGUGAAAAAGAACCUGAAACCGUGUACGUACAAGCAGUGGGAGCACGCUUAGGCGUGUGACUGCGUACCUUUUGUAUAAUGGGUCAGCGACUUAUAUUCUGUAGCAAGGUUAACCGAAUAGGGGAGCCGAAGGGAAACCGAGUCUUAACUGGGCGUUAAGUUGCAGGGUAUAGACCCGAAACCCGGUGAUCUAGCCAUGGGCAGGUUGAAGGUUGGGUAACACUAACUGGAGGACCGAACCGACUAAUGUUGAAAAAUUAGCGGAUGACUUGUGGCUGGGGGUGAAAGGCCAAUCAAACCGGGAGAUAGCUGGUUCUCCCCGAAAGCUAUUUAGGUAGCGCCUCGUGAAUUCAUCUCCGGGGGUAGAGCACUGUUUCGGCAAGGGGGUCAUCCCGACUUACCAACCCGAUGCAAACUGCGAAUACCGGAGAAUGUUAUCACGGGAGACACACGGCGGGUGCUAACGUCCGUCGUGAAGAGGGAAACAACCCAGACCGCCAGCUAAGGUCCCAAAGUCAUGGUUAAGUGGGAAACGAUGUGGGAAGGCCCAGACAGCCAGGAUGUUGGCUUAGAAGCAGCCAUCAUUUAAAGAAAGCGUAAUAGCUCACUGGUCGAGUCGGCCUGCG
rnacentral:rRNA from 1 species